GCCCUUACUUCAAGCACACUUGGAUUGCCUUGAGGGACAUCAGUACCAGUGGCAUAACGUGGGAGAACACAGGGACAGUUGCCCUGGAAGCAAAAUUGUUAGGGGUGCAAAAUUUCAUCACCUGGUGCUGCCUCAAUACAGCUGAGCACUUCUGUUGCUGGGCUCCAUUGAAAAUGGCUUCUCCAUCCGAACCAGGAAGUAACAAUACAACAACUCUUCUUUCCUUAUCUCUGCAGCUGCAGUCUCCUGGGUGACGCAGAUGCUAUUAGGCAAGUGAAUGUGCAAGUGCCUCCCUCCCUCCCCAACUCUGCUGGCCCCGGGGCACUGGCAACUCAUGCUACACCACUGAUCAAUCCAUAGCCAAAUCUUUAUGAUGACUACCACGUCACUGAUUGGCUGGAACCUGUCAAUCAACAACUUAAAGCUCUCUUGCAGUCAAUGCGCACUAUGUUUUUUAAAAAAGGUAUGGAAAAUUAACUUUUAAUUUGAACAACUGGGGUUUUUUUUAAAAAAAAACGUACUUCUAUCCCAUUUUGUGAAUUGCUUUUUUUAAAAAAAUGCCUGUCAGCAAUAGGGAAUGUGGACAAGAUCACAAGAUGAAGCCAAGGUCAAGUGCCGCUGUCAGGUUCUCAAGCAACAGCCAAGAAGCAAUGCAGAGAUUAAUCCAGGGCCGGGCUGUGGACUUAGCCAAUAACAGGUCUGGGGCAAAGCAGGUCACAUCUGGGAAGACUAAAUCCAAAUGAAACUGAGGAUAGAACUCAAAGCUAGAUUCUUGAGCUGCGCAAAGGAAAGGAAGAAUGUCAUUGCUGGCCCUGGCAGAUGUUUAAUCUGGCACAGGACUGAUGCCACCUGUAGCUGAACCAGCAUAACCAGUCCUAGAAAAGAAGACACUGCUGGCUCAAUGCCACAAGUCUGGUGUGUCACUGGCAUAGUAGAUUCCUUGGUGGCAGCCCUGUACCCUGUUAGGGUAUCUGUGGGCCCAGGAAAACACACUCAAUACAAGUUUCCUACUAUACACAAUAUUGCCACCACCGUGUCCUAUCCAACACGUGCACCUGCAGGUAUAUUACGU